rnacentral:rRNA from 1 species
UACGUAGGGUGCGAGCGUUGUCCGGAAUUAUUGGGCGUAAAGAGCUCGUAGGCGGUUUGUCGCGUCGGCCGUGAAAACUUGGGGCUUAACUCCAAGCUUGCGGUCGAUACGGGCAGACUUGAGUUCGGCAGGGGAGACUGGAAUUCCUGGUGUAGCGGUGAAAUGCGCAGAUAUCAGGAGGAACACCGGUGGCGAAGGCGGGUCUCUGGGCCGAUACUGACGCCGAGGAGCGAAAGCGUGGGGAGCGAACAGG